GACGAACGCUGGCGGCGUGCCUAAUACAUGCAAGUAGAACGCUGAAGGAGGAGCUUGCUCUUCUGGAUGAGUUGCGAACGGGUGAGUAACGCGUAGGUAACCUGCCUGGUAGCGGGGGAUAACUAUUGGAAACGAUAGCUAAUACCGCAUAACAGUAGAUGUUGCAUGACAUUUACUUAAAAGGUGCAAUUGCAUCACUACCAGAUGGACCUGCGUUGUAUUAGCUAGUUGGUGGGGUAACGGCUCACCAAGGCGACGAUACAGAGCCGACCUGAGAGGGGGAUCAGCCACACUGGGACUGAGACACGGCCCAGACUCCUACGGGAGGCAGCAGUAGGGAAUCUUCGGCAAUGGACGGAAGUCUGACCGAGCAACGCCGCGUGAGUGAAGAAGGUUUUCGGAUCGUAAAGCUCGGUUGUAAGAGAAGAACGAGUGUGAGAGUGGAAAGUUCACACUGUGACGGUAUCUUAUCAGAAAGGGACGGCUAACUACGUG
rnacentral:rRNA from 1 species